rnacentral:ncRNA from 1 species
GGUCGGAUAAGGCGUUUACGCCGCAUCCGACAGUCGAGCAUCAAUGCCUGAUGCGCCUCUUAUCAGGCC